CAGCAGCCACGGUAAUACGAAGGUCCCGAGCGUUGUUCGGAAUCACUGGGCGUAAAGGGAGCGUAGGCGGCGUGGUAAGUCAGAUGUGAAAUCCCGGGGCUCAACCCCGGAACUGCAUCCGAUACUGCCAUGCUAGAGGAUUGGAGAGGUAGCUGGAAUUCUUGGUGUAGCAGUGUAAUGCGUGGAGAUCAAGAGGAACACUCGUGGCGAAAGCGAGCUACUGGACAAUAACUGACGCUGAGGCUCGAAGGCCAGGGUAGCGAAAGGGAUUAGAUACCCCCGUAGUCCCUGUCUCUUAUAC
rnacentral:rRNA from 1 species